UUGGGAGAUUAGUCGGACACGAUCAGCUGGGAGAGCACGUGUGUUUUUAUGAGCAUUAUGCCGAGAUAGGUAACAGAUGAGGAUGAAAUUUGGGCUUGACUGAAGUAAUGGGGGCUGUCUGUGAAGCCUUGUGGCAGUACAGCCCAGGUAAUUUGCGGAGCCUAAUGGGUGUCAGGGUCAGUCCAAGUGAAAGCGAAGAGAAGCUGGGAUGAGGGGUGCAAAGGAAUAGUAAAGAAAGCAUGUUUGAGAUCCAGAACAGAAUAAUGGGUUGUAGGAGGAGGUAUUGAGGAUAGGAGAGUAUAUGGGUUUGGCACCACGGGGUGGAUAGGCAAAACAAUUUGGUUGAUAAGGUGCAGAUCCUGAACUAACCUGUAAGCCUUGUCUGGUUUUAGGACAGGUAAAAUGGGGGAAUGGUAAGGAGAGUUUAUAGGCUUUAAAAGGCCAUGCUCUAACAGGCAAGUGAUAACAGGCUUUAAUCCUUUAAAGCAUGCUGUGGGAUGGGAUAUUGGCAUUGAGCCGGGUAAGGGUGAUUAGGUUUUAAUGGGAUGGUAAGGAGUGCAUGAUCGAUCACUAAGUGGGGAGUAGAUGUGUUUUAUACUUGUGGGUUACGGUGGGGAGAUACAAGGGGAGGAUGUGAAGGAGGCUUUGAACUGGGGGAAAAGCUGGCAAUGAGGUGUGGCUGUAGUCCAGGAAUAGUCAAGGAAGCAGAUAAUUUAGUUAAAGUGUCUCGGCCUAAUAAGGGAACUGGGCAGGUGGGGAUAACUAAAAAGGAGUGCUUAAAAGAGUAUUGUCUAAAUUGGCACCAGAGCUGGAAAGUUUUAAGAGGUUUAGAAGCCUGGCCAUCAAUGCCUACAACAAUUAUGGAGACAAGGGAAACAGGCCUUUGAAAAGAAGGUAAUGUGGAGUGGGUAGCCUCCAUAUUGAUUAAGACGGGGACAGACUUACCUUCCACUGUGAGAGUUACCUGAAGGUCGGCGUCCGUGAUGGUUUAGGGGUCUUCCGAGGCGAUUGGGCAGUGUCAGCCUUCAGCUGCUAAGCCGGGAAGAUCUGGGAAGGAGUCAGAGAGCCUUGGGCCAGAGUUCCAGGAGCUCUGGGAGUGGCUGCCAGACGGAUAAUGAAUCACCUACCAGUUGCAUCUGUGUCUGCUUUUUCAACUCCAGCUUACUCCUACUACUACUGCAACUAUUUGCCAGGCAUCCCUUUGUUUCCUGAGUCCUAGAAGCAGGUCCCCGACGAGGAACAACGAUGCCUGGACUCAGCUUCAGCCUCUGUUCUUCUACCGUUCAGAAGCCACCCUCCGGCAAGGUGACCCCGGCUGCUGGAUGGGGCAAGCCCAGGAAUUCUCGGCUUCUGACACAUGACGCAUUCAUCUUCUCCGACAGUGUUCCCAUGCACAACUUGUGGUUCGGGUUGGAAAUGCAAAGUGGAAAAAUGCAUAGCAGUAUCCCCUCCUCCAAGGCCUCAGUCUCUGUGCUCAUAUUCACUGAGACUAGUGACCCCCGACUUCCCACUCGCCGGCCCCUCCUCCUCCCCUUCCAACAUAAUAUGCUGUUUACUUAUUUAUUGUGUUCAUUUUCCGUCUCACCCAAAUCUAUUCUAGAAAAGGUUUUGUUUUGUUUUGUUAUUUUUCAGUGUUCUGUCCACUGUUGUACCCCCAGUACUUAGCUUCCCAUUUGCUACGCAGCAGACACUCAGUAGAUAUUGGUUGAGUGAAGAAAUGAUUGAGGACCAGUCAUCAUGCUUUUGUCCUAGCCUCACUGGGAACCAGCUAUACAGCUAUUGCCCUGUGUCUCAGUUUCCUUAUUGGGAAAUGGGGAUAAUAAUCUCUAAAGAAACAGAUGGAUGCAUAUAUGCAAACUAUUUAUAUGUUUGUAUAUUCCUAUCUGUAAAGUGUUUGUAUAUUCACAUAUGUAAAGUAAAAAAUGUAAAACGUUGGAUAAGUAUAAUGGAUGCACACUAUUUACAGUGCAUGGACACCUGUCAUGAUAAACAAACUGGAGAAGCAAUCACUAGCAAAUAGAUCAUAUCGAUAUGUGUGUGCCCCCAUGAAAACCUCCACAUUGUUGAAAGUGCUACCUGCUCUAAUCUCCUGUUUGUGAAGAUUAGCCCUAUUUCUCUAUCCAAAAAGAAGUUAUCUUGGGGGCCCAGCACCCCAAAAAAUUAGAUCUCAGGCCAUUGCACUAUGUCUAAGGGGUAUGUUGUAUAAGAUGUGCACGUAGUGGAAAUUGGACAAAGGGCACUAUAUAUAGAAUGUGAAAGUGGAGUUUUCAGGACCUGUGCUUUAAAUAUCAGGCAUGACAUCGUCACCAGCACCUCCAGGAGCGGAGCCGGAGGCAGGAUUCUCUGGGGAGUGCAUUUCCUCCAGUUCUGCUGAUGCAGGAGAGAAGGGUGAAUCAGCAGUAGGCGGCUGAAAGUUUUGAUAAUCACAAUUUGCUCUGGGUGAUCAAGUGGGGCCUGGAUGGAGGGAAACAAUUGGAUAUCUAACUAGGCUAAGCAAGAGGGCUCAGGGGACUGGCAGGAGAAGGAUACAGUGCUUUUACCUCCUGAUCAAGCUUUUCCCAUCUGGUCAUUUUAUUUGUCAAUUUUUCCCAUUUCAUUUACCAGGCUGUUCCCUGACUGUUACCUCCUCUGGCAAAUAGCUCAGCCAAUCAUUCUGCCUUGGGAAGGAUGUCUGGCUAAAGUGCCCAAUGUGGCCCCACCUAGGCCUUUUCCUAUGAGUACCCCUCUCUGUGGCCCAAGAUCCUCUCCAGCUCCCCCAUGAUAUUAGGUGUGGGAUCCACAACUUGCCUGCGGCAGAGAAACCCAGACACUCUCAUCCUGCCCUUUUCUUUCGUCAUGAAACAGGGUUGUGGGUUGGGUGGGAAAGGGGCUGAGGGGGUGAGUUUAGAGAGAGGAGGCUGGAAAUGAGAUUCCCAGCUCCAUCAUUAUUAGCAAUGUGACUUUGGGGAUAUUGCCACACCUCUCUGAGCCCCAUCUUCCUUCAUACCAAGAUGAUAAUCUCUCUCUCAUAGUCUCUGGUGAGAACCAGAGAGCAGGAGACACAAGUGCUGACCCAUAGUAGGUGAGGGGUACACAACUAUUGAGUAUACACAAUGGUCUCUCGAGAGCUGUCUCUACUGUUGAAUUUUUGAAUUCCUAAAACCAGAAGGGAAGAAAAACCAACAUUGAAUAAAAGUGCUAGACUGUAGUAGGUGCCUGUGUAUGUCAUCAUAUCACUCCCCGCCAACAGACUUAUAAACUGAAGAGUAGUAGUCCACUGCUCUGGUUUACAUAUGUCCCCCAAAAACCGUGUGUUGGAAACAUAAUCCUCAAGGCAACAGUGUUGAGAGGUGGAGCCUGAUAAGAAGUGAUUAGACCACAAGGGCUGUAUGGUUACGAAUGGAUUAAUACCAUUAUUACAGAAGUGGGAUCUUUAAAAAAUAAUGAGUUUGCCCCCCUUUUGUCUCUCUCUCACUCUCUCUUGCCAUUCUACUUUCUGCCAUGAUGAUACAUCAAGAAGGUCCUUGCCAGAUACCACCUCUUGAUCUUGGGCUUCUCAACCUCCAGAACUCUGAGCCAAUAAAUUUCUGUUCAUUAUAAAUCACCUAGUCUGUGGUACUCUAUUAAAGCAGCCCAAAAUAGAUGAGGAAACUGAAAAACUUAAUAGAUGAGGAAACUGAAUUACAGAAAGAAUUACUAACUUGUGCAAGGUUAGGCUGCUGAUAAAUCAGAGCUGGAGCUCCAUACUGGUUUUGAUUUCAAAGUCCAUCCCUUUCCCCAUCACUAGGCUGAAUCCCAGGAGACUGAAGGUUAACCAGAGAAAAUUCCAGACUGCAUGACUGGUAGAGUUUGCCCACAACCCCUAGGCA
rnacentral:lncRNA from 1 species